rnacentral:lncRNA from 1 species
GGUGUAGCUGAAACUUGGAAGGCGAUUAGCGUGGGGAUGAUGGGCGUGGAAAGUGUCGCUGACAAUGGACGCGCGCGUGAACGGCGUGUUGGGUUGUGGGUUUAGUUGCCUCUUCUGUUCAAAGUUUCAGAAUUUGUGAGAGGCGAAAGAUGCCUUCACAUGGGUCUUGUUCCUUUUCAAUUCAGAAACUUGUGCGACUUGUCUAUCAUUUUUUUAAAAAAUGUAUUCCCUGGAGCUGGAUGUUCAUCACUGUACGUUGUGACGAUGGUUCUGCUUGAUUCUUG